GAAAAAGAAUGGCCUAAAGUCUAUUGGCUGAAAUAGCAGAAAGAAAUGAUCUAGGAUUUGACCCUAUGAUAGAUUUUCUAUAACAAAACAAAUGAUUCAGUUGUUAUCAAGUCUGGGAAGCAUCUGCUGUUACCUACUUACUGAAUGCAGGGUUGAGUUUCUGCAAUGCUAAGAUUGCUAUGUCUGGAAUUAGGUCUCAAAGAUCUUUCCUAUCCACAGAAAAGAAUCUGAAAGAGAAAGAAGAAUAGUACAAUUUAUCAAUCGCUGGAUAUGAAUGAUUGAAUAUAUUAGAUGCAAAGGAAUGUGGAGAUAAACUUCAUUGUUUCCAUACUAAUGAAUGGGAAGUAAACAAAAUUGGACUUUAAUGAUAGCACCGGAAGUCAAAUAUAUCUAAAAGCAAUGGUGGUAUUCAGCCAGUUCUAUCCGGUUCGGGAAGACCGGUAGCGGUGGCUGCGGGAGGCUCCACCCACCCACCCGAACAUCAUCACAUCCUGUUUUUGAUGCUCUGCGCAUGCGUGGAAGGACUUGUGCAUGCAUACACGCUCACAUUUGCGAACCGGUAGCAAAGAACCAGAACCGGUGGGUCAAAACUAGAAGGAAGUAAGUUCAGGCCAGAUGUUAGAAGAAACUUCCUGACUAUGUAAGCUGUCAGCCAGUGGAAAACCUGCCAUAUUAAGUGAUUCUGCACCUGUAACAGAGAAGCUACUGUUGCUAAUUUGAGGCAUUCACCAGGGAGAGACAAUUAACUCAUUGACUGGAACAAGGGAAAUUUAAUAGAAAAACUGUCAUUUACAAACCACUGUUAAGUUUUGCAGAUCUUUGUUACUGGAAUAAACAUUAGUCUGUAAAAUG